AAGAAUCAACAGUUAUGGAGAAACCUGAAGAACCAGCAGUGGAAGAAAAACCUGAAGAACCAACAGUUAAAGAGGAACCUGAAAAAUCAGUGAUGGAAGAGAAACCUGAAGAACCAAUUGUUGAGGAGAAACUUGAAGAACCAACUGUUGAAGAGAAACCUGAAAAAUCACUGAUUGAAGAAACACCUGAAGAACCAAUAUGGGAAGAAACACCUAAAGAACUAGCAUUUGAAGAGAAACCAGAAGAACCAGCAGUUGAAGAGGAGAAACCUGAAAAGGUAACUCUUUUGGAAGAG
rnacentral:lncRNA from 1 species